rnacentral:lncRNA from 1 species
GCGGGAAGCAAAUUUAUAAAUUUUCCCCCAUAAUAUUACAUUUGGGCCGAGUUUUAAACGUAAACAUUCACAAGUUAGGGUAAAAUAUUUGUAAAUUCAAGACCAUAGCUAGCCUUUUAGCUCUUCACGAUUCACGGCACGCAUAUUAAUCACGAUUCACGGAAUGGUAUUUCUUUAAAUCACGAAUCACGAAUAAUUGCUAAUCACGAGUCACGAAAAUACCCUUGCCCCCCC